GAUGAACGCUGGCGGCGUGCCUAACACAUGCAAGUCGAGCGAAGCGCCUUACUUGAUUUCUUCGGGAUGAAAGUAUUGUGACUGAGCGGCGGACGGGUGAGUAACGCGUGGAUAACCUGCCUCAUACAGGGGGGAUAACAGUUAGAAAUGACUGCUAAUACCGCAUGAUGCAUUUGGGUCGCAUGAUCCGGAUGCCAAAGAUUUAUCGCUCUGAGAUGGCCUCGCGUCUGAUUAGCUUGUUGGCGGGGUAACGGCCCCACCAAGGCGACGAUCAGUAGCCGGACUGAGAGGUUGGCCGGCCACAUUGGGACUGAGACACGGCCCAG
rnacentral:rRNA from 1 species